AAGAGACGUUGCCCUUCGGGGUCGGCUCGUUGGAUUGUGCUGGUGGAGACACAUGUGCACGUCUACGAGUCGCAAACCCACACACCUGUGCAUCUAUGACUCUGAGUGCCGCCUUGCAUGGCCCCUUGAUUUGGGCCUGGCGCUCGAGUACUUUCACACACUCUUGAAUGUAAUGGAAUGUCUUGUUGUGCAUAACGUACAAACAGAAA
rnacentral:misc_RNA from 1 species